rnacentral:rRNA from 1 species
GACGAACGCUGGCGGCGUGCCUAAUACAUGCCAGUAGAACGCUGAAGAGAGGAGCUUGCUCUUCUUGGAUGAGUUGCGAACGGGUGAGUAACGCGUAGGUAACCUGCCUUGUAGCGGGGGAUAACUACUGGAAACGAUAGCUAAUACCGCAUAACAAUGGAUGACACAUGUCAUUUAUUUGAAAGGGGCAAUUGCUCCACUACAAGAUGGACCUGCGUUGUAUUAGCUAGUAGGUGAGGUAAUGGCUCACCUAGGCGACGAUACAUAGCCGACCUGAGAGGGUGAUCGGCCACACUGGGACUGAGACACGGCCCAGACUCCUACGGGAGGCAGCAGUAGGGAAUCUUCGGCAAUGGGGGCAACCCUGACCGAGCAACGCCGCGUGAGUGAAGAAGGGUUUCGGAUCGUAAAGCUCUGUUGUAAGUCAAGAACGGGUGUGAGAGUGGAAAGUUCACACUGUGACGGUAGCUUACCAGAAAGGGACGGCUAACUACGUG